rnacentral:rRNA from 1 species
UACAGAGGUCCCAAGCGUUGUUCGGAUUCACUGGGCGUAAAGGGCUCGUAGGCGGCCAACUAAGUCAGACGUGAAAUCCCUAGGCUCAACCUAGGAACUGCGUCUGAUACUGGAUGGCUUGAAUCCGGGAGAGGGAUGCAGAGUUCCAGGUGUAGCGGUGAAAUUCGUAGAUAUCGGGAGGAACACCAGUGGCGAAGGCGGCGACCUGGGCAGAUACUGACACUGAGGUGCGAAAGCGUGGGGAGCGAACAGG